UUCUUAUAUGCAUGUAUAUGUUAAAUAUAAACUUUACACAUAUAUGAAGUCGGGCCUGCCCAGUGAAUUUAUUUAACGGCCGCGGUACCCUGACCGUGCAAAGGUAGCAUAAUACUUGCCUUAUAAUUGAAGGCUGGAAUGAAUGGUUUGACAAGAAUGUGGCUGUCUCAUUAUAAUUAAAUAGAAUUUUAUUUUAGGGUGAAAAAGCCCUAGUUUAAUUAAAAGACAAGAAGACCCUAUCGAGCUUGAAGUUAAUUAAUAAAAGAUUAACACUUGGAAAAAUUAAUUAUUAAAGAUUUUGGUUGGGGCAACUAAGGAGCAAAAAAAGCCUCUUUUUAAAAACUACACACACUAGUAAUGAUCCAAUAAUUUUGAUCGAAGAAAAUAGUUACCGUAGGGAUAACAGCAUUAUCUUUUUUGAGAGCUCUUAUCGAAAAAAAGGUUUGUGACCUCGAUGUUGGACCAGAAUAUCCUAAAGAUGCAGGAGUCUUUAAAGGUUGGUCUGUUCGACC
rnacentral:rRNA from 1 species